AGAGUUGGCCAGACAGUCGCUGCCUGUUCGCAGGCAGAGGAAAGUCCGGGCUCCAAUGGGCAGGGUGCCAGGUAACGCCUGGACGGCGCGAGCCGAUGGAAAGUGCCACAGAAAAUACACCGCCUAAGCCGAAAGGCCGGUAAGGGUGAAAUGGUGCGGUAAGAGCGCACCGCGCGGGUGGCAACAUCCGUGGCAGGGCAAACCCCACCUGGAGCAAGGCCAAAUAGGGGAACGCUUGGUGUGUGCCCGCACCGUUCCCGGGUAGGCCGCAUGAGGCGCGCGGCGACGCGCGUCCCAGAUGAAUGACUGUCCUCGACAGAACCCGGCUUAACGGCCAACUCUUUUU
rnacentral:RNase_P_RNA from 2 species